CAAUCAAGCUAACCAAAGAUAUUACAUUUGCCUACAUACUCAAUGGAAUCGGCUGUAACUAAAAACUCGAAUACAUUUUAACAGACAGUGGUCAUGUUUGUUGAUGAAUAUUGUUUUUCCUAACUUCACUCUUGAAAAAUCAUUUGGUAACAUUUGGUCAAGUAAUUUCAGAAAAGAUCUUUUUGUAAUUGCGGACACCAAGACAAUACAUGAACCUCACACGACCCCUCGACACAGGUGAGCUUAUAUAUGAUCUUAUAGCGAUUCGGGUUGAUAACCAGUUGAAAAUAAGCCAGUUUUUUGUGUGUGUAGAUUUGUAUUGUUUUAUAAAAAAAAGAAGAUGUGGUAUGAUUGCAAAUGAGACAACUAUCCACAAAAGACCAUAAUGACACAGACAUUAACAACUAUAGGUCACCGUACGGCCUUCAACAAUGAGCAAAGCCCAUACCGCAUAGUCAGCUAUAAAAGGCCCCGAUAAGACACUGUAAAACAAUUCAAACGAGAAAACUAGCGGCCUUAUUUAUGUAAAAAAAAAAAAAAAAAAAAAAUCUAUAUUUUUGCUCUCCAUUUUUAUGCAAAACCUUUUACAUUUUUAUUUUAUGGGUUAUUGUUGAAGGUCGUACGAUGACGUAUGGUUGUUAACACAUACUUUCUUUGGUUUCUUAUGGAAAUUUGUCCAUUGACAACAAACAUACACAUCAUCUACUUUAUAUAACUUAAAGUAUUGUAAAAAUUACAACGUAUUUUGGUGAUCUUGCAAAAUGAUCGUAAUCCCGAAAAUCGUAAACAUAUUUUCUUAUCUUAAAAAGGGGCAACUUUUCGGAAGGGUUCCAUUAACAGGCCAAUAAAUAAGACUACAGUUAAUUUAAAAAAAGGGGUAUUUUUUCUCUCAUAAUAACAGUAAACAGAUUCACAACAAUGUCAAUUUCAAGAAAGCAGAC
rnacentral:lncRNA from 1 species